GACGAACGCUGGCGGCGUGCUUAACACAUGCAAGUCGAACGGAAAGGCCCUGCUUUUGUGGGGUGCUCGAGUGGCGAACGGGUGAGUAACACGUGAGUAACCUGCCCUUGACUUUGGGAUAACUUCAGGAAACUGGGGCUAAUACCGGAUAGGAGCUCCUGCUGCAUGGUGGGGGGUGGAAAGUUUAGGCGGUUGGGGAUGGACUCGCGGCUUAUCAGCUUGUUGGUGGGGUAGUGGCUUACCAAGGCUUUGACGGGUAGCCGGCCUGAGAGGGUGACCGGCCACAUUGGGACUGAGAUACGGCCCAGACGGGUACGGGAGGCAGCGGUGGGAAAUAUUGCACAAUGGGCGGAAGCCUGAUGCGACAACGCCGCGUGCGGGAUGACGGCUUUCGGGUUGUAAACCGCUUUCGCCUGUGACGAAGCGUGAGUGACGGUAAUGGGUAAAGAAGCACCGGCUAACUACGUG
rnacentral:rRNA from 1 species